CGAAAGCCUGACGGAGCAAUACCGCGUGAGGGAGGAAGGCUCUUGGGUUGUAAACCUCUUUUCUCAAGGAAUAAGUUCUGAAGGUACUUGAGGAAUAAGCAUCGGCUAACUCCGUGCCAGCAGCCGCGGUAAUACGGAGGAUGCAAGCGUUAUCCGGAAUGAUUGGGCGUAAAGGGUCCGCAGGUGGCAGUGUAAGUCUGCUGUCAAAGAAUGAGGCUUAACCUUAUCAAGGCAGUGGAGACUACACAGCUAGAGUACGGUCGGGGUAGAAGGAAUUCCUGGUGUAGCGGUGAAAUGCGUAGAUAUCAGGAAGAACACCGGUGGCGAAAGCGCUCUGCUGGGCCGUAACUGACACUCAUGGACGAAAGCUAGGGGAGCG
rnacentral:rRNA from 1 species